GCCUGCGUAGCUUAGGGGUAGAGCAUUGGUCUCAUGAAAAGUAUGAAUCUUGAGUUGACUCGAGAGAUAACCAAGUACGGUGGCUCGAUUCCGCCCGCGGGCA